rnacentral:lncRNA from 1 species
AGUAGCCUUAAAGCUUAGAGAGGUUUUUAAGAGUUCCUUGAUACUCUAAGGUACUAACUUACCCGCAAAAGUUAGAGGUUCUUAAGAGUGCCCUUGAUACUUUAAGGUGUGAGUCUACCCGUAAAAGACUGGUUCCUAAGCGAAGUAGCCUUAAAGCUUAGAGAGGUUCUUAAGAGUUUCCUUGAUACUCUAAGGUUUUGCCAUAACCUUUAGGCGAGUGAAUUCCGACAGUUGGUCGGGACUAGAUUAGCCCUUGUUUGGGUGAACCAGUAUAAAUCUCUUGUGUUGUUCUUUGUUAACUUUAGUUUUUAUCUUUCAUCUAAAAACAACUAAACAACACUUAAUUGAAAAGGAUCCCUCUUCCAGUUAUCUGGUCAAAUACAGAGGUUGACUAAUUUACGCAGAUCCCUCAUUCAGUUAUCUGGUCAACUAUCUGAGGUUAUAUUCAUUGCUUUAAAUCCUUAUUCAUAUAUUUGUUCAAGCAUUUACUUAUCAUAUAUAUCCAGUUAUCUGGUCAUUUACUUGCUUAUCAAUAUAUCCAGUUAUCUGGUCAUUUACUUGC